rnacentral:rRNA from 1 species
GACGGAGGGUGCUAGCGUUGUUCGGAAUUACUGGGCGUAAAGGGCGCGUAGGCGGCCGCUUGCGUCGGAUGUGAAAGCCCGGGGCUCAACCCCGGAACGGCAUCCGAUACGGGGCGGCUGGAGACCGGGAGAGGAGGGUGGAAUAGCCAGUGUAGAGGUGAAAUUCGUAGAUAUUCGCAAGAACACCAGUGGCGAAGGCGGCUCACUGGCCCGAUACUGACGCUGAGGUGCGAAAGCGUGGGGAGCAAACAGG